CUCCGGUGCUCUCCUUUGGCCUAUAUGACCCUCGUGACCUAAAAAUCUCGGGGACAGAAGAUUUUUCGCAGUUCCACCGAUGCUUGAUAACCCACAAGUGUAUGGGAUCGCAACAGUCUUCGCGGGUAAGUUAACCCAAUUUAUUGAUUCGACACAAGGGGAGCCAAAGAAUAUUUAUAAGCUUUAACAGUUGAGUUGUCAAUUCAACCGCACCUGGAAGAUAUUUGCUUGGCAACGAAAUAUUAGUGGCAACGAUGAUA
rnacentral:lncRNA from 1 species